rnacentral:snRNA from 1 species
GUGCUCAAUUCGGCAGCAAAUAUACUAAAAUUGGAAUGAUAUAGAGAAGAUGAACAUGGUCCCUGCACAAGGAUGACAUGCAAAUUUGCGAAGUGUUCUGUAUUUUU